rnacentral:rRNA from 14 species
GUGUACUGACAUACUAACCUGAAUAUCCCUGAUCUCUGCUCUGUGAAGCUAAGCAGGGUUGAGCCUAGUGAGUACUCAGAUGGGAGGCGUUUGUUUGAGAUGGGGCCUCAUGAUGUA